GAUGAACGCUGGCGGCGUGCCUAAUACAUGCAAGUCGAGCGAACAGACGAGGAGCUUGCUCCUCUGACGUUAGCGGCGGACGGGUGAGUAACACGUGGAUAACCUACCUAUAAGACUGGGAUAACUUCGGGAAACCGGAGCUAAUACCGGAUAAUAUAUUGAACCGCAUGGUUCAAUAGUGAAAGACGGUUUUGCUGUCACUUAUAGAUGGAUCCGCGCCGCAUUAGCUAGUUGGUAAGGUAACGGCUUACCAAGGCAACGAUGCGUAGCCGACCUGAGAGGGUGAUCGGCCACACUGGAACUGAGACGCGGUCCAGACUCCUACGGGAGGCAGCAGUAGGGAAUCUUCCGCAAUGGGCGGAAGCUUGACGGAGCAACGCCGCGUGAGUGAUGAAGGUCUUCGGAUCGUAAAACUCUGUUAUUAGGGAAGAACAAAUGUGUAAGUAACUAUGCACGUCUUGACGGUACCUAAUCAGAAAGCCACGGCUAACUACGUG
rnacentral:rRNA from 1 species